UGUAAAGGCCGUUAAAGAUAAGAGACUGAGC
rnacentral:piRNA from 1 species